GAUGAACGCUGGCGGCGUGCCUAAUACAUGCAAGUCGAGCGAACGGACGAGAAGCUUGCUUCUCUGAUGUUAGCGGCGGACGGGUGAGUAACACGUGGAUAACCUACCUAUAAGACUGGGAUAACUUCGGGAAACCGUAGCUAAUACCGGAUAAUAUUUUGAACCGCAUGGUUCAAAAGUGAAAGACGGUCUUGCUGUCACUUAUACAUGGAUCCGCGCUGCAUUAGCUAGUUGGUAAGGUAACGGCUUACCAAGGCAACGAUGCAUAGCCGACCUGAGAGGGUGAUCGGCCACACUGGAACUGAGACACGGUCCAGACUCCUACGGGAGGCAGCAGUAGGGAAUCUUCCGCAAUGGGCGAAAGCCUGACGGAGCAACGCCGCGUGAGUGAUGAAGGUCUUCGGAUCGUAAAACUCUGUUAUUAGGGAAGAACAUAUGUGUAAGUAACUGUGCACAUCUUGACGGUACCUAAUCAGAAAGCCACGGCUAACUACGUG
rnacentral:rRNA from 1 species